ensembl:lncRNA
GCCAGAACAAGAUGACAGCUCUGCGUUAAAGCGUUCAUCAGUACUGCCUCUGGGCACCCCUCUGGGCACCCCUUUACUGACCGGAGCUGGUCAGUAUCCCUGGUCUAGCCAGGCUCUUUCCGAUGGAAAUCCUGGGUUUGUCCUGGCCUUGAACAGACCUGGACGAGUAGACCUUUCUACCCCGAGGUCCAGCUCCUCAGGUGGAACGUGCAGCACGGACCUCUCUGAAAAUGACCAAGACAACAGGAACAAAAGACUAAGAAAAGAAAUUGGGGAAAGAAAUGUGUACUACAUAGUUCGAAUACAUCGAGCUUACUGUGAAAACUCAUUUUUUGGAGAUAGAGAGAAGAUAAGGUGCCAGGUAGAGACUAAAUUGUUCAUCUCCAGGUUUUCAAAUGGAAUCUUGACCAGAUUUGGGUCUCAGUUAACAAAGCUCAGGACAGCUGAGCCCAUAGCAGGUGUUACUGAGGAUACUUAGUGGCAAAAGGAGGGUCUGCAGCUGCAGGUCCCUCUCACCUGGUGACCUUGAGGAAGGUGAAGCAGCAUACUGGGCACAGUGCUGGGUUUGGGGGUGCAGGAAAUCAGAUCAGAGCUGCCCAGAGGAGGACUGCGUCUGCUCACAGAAACAUAUCUCACAGGCCCUGUUAGAGCAGAAUAAAGAGAUCAUAAGUGACCACCUACCGGCCAUUCAAGAUCUGGUUCUUCCUUUCCUGCUUUCUGUCAUUUAUAUCACACAAUACCCCCUCCCUGCACACAAGCUUUCAGACACGGAGACAUGCAUAUGCACACGUGCAGCACAUACAUCCUCAGUUUCCACCUCACAACACACCCCUCUCACUACACAUGCGUGCACAUGCUUCCACACAUAUAAACAUACAAACAUACACACAGGUACAUGCAUGCACACACACACACUCUGAAGUGCAGACUCCAAACUCUAAGAGACCUGGUUUAGUCUCUGAGGCUAAAGCUGCUCAGAUUGACAUGCCCAGGCCAUGGAACCAAAUUUUUGCACAAGGCCCGCUUGGAGAGGCUCUAUUGCCCCAAUUUACAGUUGAAAGACAGAGACCAUGAUAGGUGAAGUCAUUCACUAAUGAUCCCACAGCUUGUUGGUGGCACCAUUGAGACUGCAGCUUCCAGCAGAGAGCACGUUGGCCUGCUCUAUUACCCGAAGCCCAUAAUGCAGAGUUUCAUCCCUGCAAAGGGGACAGCUACAUCUGGGUCCUAUGUCCCAGGUUGCUCCAAGGCUAGGACCUGUUGAGCUUUCUCCAAAAGGGUCCAGAGAAGGAUAAGGCUCCUCAGGGCUGUGAGUCUCCUGGAGGUCAAUGUCCCUCAAGGGACCAAAGGAGUCUGAGUAGCUAGGGGAGUGAAAAGAUCCCAGCUCUGUGCUACCUGGAGAAAGCAACAUCCCAGGGCAGUGAGCUAUCCCAAACCUGUGUGGCUGUGAAAUAGAGGCAUCCUUUGGGUUGAUACUUCAGACCUUUGACAAUUCUCCAAUCCAGCGGCUGCACUGAAACACCUGUUCUCUGUGUUCAUGAAGGCCCCUAUCUCUCUCCCAGUCUCCCAUCUGCUUGACUGUUACCAGUAAUAAACAUGGUCACGUCUAAGCAUUAUUUGUCCCCUAGAAUAUCCCGGAAUACAAAACCUCUAUUAUAAAACCAGGUUCUGUAGGUAUCUUAAGUAUUUUCUUUCAGAUCAAUUCCCAUGCCCCCUACUUUUUAGCACAGUCAAGUUAAUUCCUGUGUUAAUUAAAUCAUCAGUCAGGGGAGUACCUGCCUUCUAAGAGUGAAUGUCCACAUUAUGGAUGGAAAUCCUGUUUUUGUCCUGUCCUGAGUAUAGAACAGGACUCAGAGGAAAGGACAAGAAAAAUAGUUCUUCAGUUCUUCAGGCUUUAUUUUAAAUGACAGCAGGUCUUUGAAGUCAAGAGGACAAUAGAUAAUGGGCACCUUGCUGCGGUUAAAGGAAAAAAAAGGAACGGGAAAGGUAUUUUCUUCUAAAUGAUUAUUUACAAGCACAUUAAUAAACUGAAAUUAUUUUCUAUAAUGUCAGUGAAGUUUUCUUUCUUUCCUUUUUUUUCUUUUUUUGAGACUGAGUCUCACUCUGUUGCCCAGGCUAGAGUGCAGUGGCAUGAUCUUGGCUCACUGCAACCUCUGCUGUCUGGGUUCAAGUGAUUCUUGUGUCUCAGCCUCCUAAGUAGCUGAGACUACCGGCACCUGCUGCCACAUUCGGCUAAUUUUCGUGCUUUUAGUACAGAAGGAGUUUCACCAUGUUGGCCAGGCUGGGCUUGACCUCCUAACCUGAAAUGAUCUGCCCACCUCAGCUUCCCAAAGUGCUGGGAUCACAGGCGUGAGCCACCAUGCCCAGCCCAGUGGAGUUCUCUAGAAAUACUCUGCCAGAAAUAAGUGAGAAACAUGGUGAUUGGCAGCAGAGUU